rnacentral:rRNA from 1 species
ACACAUGCAAGUCGAACGAGCGAGAGAGAGCUUGCUUUCUCAAGCGAGUGGCGAACGGGUGAGUAACGCGUGAGGAACCUGCCUCAAAGAGGGGGACAACAGUUGGAAACGACUGCUAAUACCGCAUAAGCCCACGGCUCGGCAUCGAGCAGAGGGAAAAGGAGCAAUCCGCUUUGAGAUGGCCUCGCGUCCGAUUAGCUAGUUGGUGAGGUAACGGCCCACCAAGGCGACGAUCGGUAGCCGGACUGAGAGGUUGAACGGCCACAUUGGGACUGAGACACGGCCCAGACUCCUACGGGAGGCAGCAGUGGGGAAUAUUGCAUAAUGGGGGAAACCCUGAUGCAGCGACGCCGCGUGGAAGAAGAAGGUCUUCGGAUUGUAAACUCCUGUUGUUGAGGAAGAUAAUGACGGUACUCAACAAGGAAGUGACGGCUAACUACGUGCCAGCAGCCGCGGUAGAACGUAGGUCACAAGCGUUGUCCGGAAUUACUGGGUGUAAAGGGAGCGCAGGCGGGGGGACAAGUUGGAAGUGAAAUCCAUGGGCUCAACCCAUGAACUGCUUUCAAAACUGUUUUUCUUGAGUAGUGCUGAGGUAGGCGGAAUUCCCGGUGUAGCGGUGGAAUGCGUAGAUAUCGGGAGGAACACCAGUGGCGAAGGCGGCCUACUGGGCACCAACUGACGCUGAGGCUCGAAAGUGUGGGUAGCAAACAGGAUUAGAUACCCUGGUAGUCCACACUGUAAACGAUGAUUACUAGGUGUUGGAGGAUUGACCCCUUCAGUGCCGCAGUUA